rnacentral:lncRNA from 1 species
GGGCUUGCUCUUCAAUACAUAAGUGAUGGGUUAGGAGUGAUGCUUGCGGCGAGACGGUUGCUCAGCUGUCGGCGAUGCUCUGUAAUGAAGGUGAGGAAGUCCCUUUUAUAAAAUAAGGGGUCGCUCCUUAAUAUAUAAGUAAUGGGUGCUCUCUAAUGAAAGUGAAGGAGUCCCUUUUAUAGAAUAAGGUCUCGCUCCUCAAUA